ACUUAUCUGAGAUAACGUCUGCUCAAUGUUUUAUAAAUUGCCGCGGUAUCCUGACCGUGCAAAGGUAGCAUAAUAAUUUGUCCUCUAAUUAAGGUCUUGAAUGAAUGGCUUAAUGGGAAAAAGCUGUCUCACACGUUACCAUAGAACUUACUUUUUAGGUGAAAAAGCCUAAGUUUUUAUAGAGGACGAGAAGACCCUAUGAAUUAAUUAAAACCCUUUAUUGAAGGUAUCUUUUUUGUUGGGGCAACAACGGAGCAAGAAAUCUCCAAUUUCUCUACUUUGACACGACAGAGCUUUCAAGCUUGAAAUAAUUACCAUAGGGAUAACAGCAUAAUUUCUUUUGAAGUUUGUGACCUCGAUGUUGGACUAGGGAAUAUACAGGCUAAAAGCUUGUAAUUUUGGUUCUGUUCGAACCACAACCCCUACGUGAUCUGAGUUCAGACCGG
rnacentral:rRNA from 1 species